rnacentral:rRNA from 1 species
CCUACGGGUGGCAGCAGUGGGGAAUAUUGCGCAAUGGGCGAAAGCCUGACGCAGCGACGCCGCGUGAGGGAUGAAGGUCUUCGGAUCGUAAACCUCUGUCAGCAGGGAAGAACGGUCACUGUGCUAAUCAGCAGUGAAUUGACGGUACCUGCAAAGGAAGCACCGGCUAAAUCCGUGCCAGCAGCCGCGGUAAUACGGAGGGUGCGAGCGUUAAUCGGAAUUACUGGGCGUAAAGCGCUCGUAGGCGGUAUGUCAAGUCAAGGGUGAAAUCCCCGCGCUCAACGUGGGAACUGCCUUUGAAACUGGCAAACUGGAGUGUGUGAGAGGAUAGUGGAAUUCCAGGUGUAGGAGUGAAAUGCGUAGAUAUCUGGAGGAACAUCAGUGGCGAAGGCGACUAUCUGGCACAUAACUGACGCUGAGGAGCGAAAGCGUGGGUAGCAAACAGGAUUAAAUACCCGGGUAGUC